AAGCCCUGCCUUGGAAGCAUCAGCCUCCCCAGUGGCGAGAGUGUCAAGAAGUCCCUGUUCAAAAUGUAUUAUCCAACAGUCUUUUAGAUAUUCGAAUAGCAGCACAAAUGAAAGCAAGUAAAAGCAAGUAAUCAAUUUAGACCUGGUAGAGAUUUGCAUGAAUCAGGGCCUGGUUUGCUGACUUUGAGUAUGAGUCUAAGCGCAUUGACUCGACUUUAACAUACCAUUCAACCAAUAAUUGUUGGAACAAACAUCCAGCAUGAAAGAACACGUUGAACUGGCCUUCCCGUAUCUGAAGCUUGUAACACUUCUAUUCUCUCACGCUGACCCAUCGGCGUGAACCUCCAGUUUCUAAGAUGAAUAUAACAGAACACCACGAUAUAUAAACUGAUAUUUCAUGGUUCCAAUAAACAUAUCUAAUCUAAAAUGUUAAAAUGUUACCUAGCCCUUCCACGUCGCCAUACAUAUUUUCAUUUGGAUCACUUUCAUGAUCAAAACCUACAAAAUC
rnacentral:lncRNA from 1 species